AUUGAACGCUGGCGGCAGGCCUAACACAUGCAAGUCGAGCGGAUGAAGGGAGCUUGCUCCUGGAUUCAGCGGCGGACGGGUGAGUAAUGCCUAGGAAUCUGCCUGGUAGUGGGGGAUAACGUCCGGAAACGGGCGCUAAUACCGCAUACGUCCUGAGGGAGAAAGUGGGGGAUCUUCGGACCUCACGCUAUCAGAUGAGCCUAGGUCGGAUUAGCUAGUUGGUGGGGUAAAGGCCUACCAAGGCGACGAUCCGUAACUGGUCUGAGAGGAUGAUCAGUCACACUGGAACUGAGACACGGUCCAGACUCCUAAGGGAGGCAGCAGUGGGGAAUAUUGGACAAUGGGCGAAAGCCUGAUCCAGCCAUGCCGCGGGUGUGAAGAAGGUCUUCGGAUUGUAAAGCACUUUAAGUUGGGAGGAAGGGAAGUAAGUUAAUACCUUGCUGUUUUGACGUUACCAACAGAAUAAGCACCGGCUAACUUCGUG
rnacentral:rRNA from 1 species